GAAUUUGAUUGAAUUUCUGGAUUCCAUUUUUAGAUCCCAGUAUUUUUUCUUAAUUAUUUUUCCCCUUUUUUGGUGGAUUGUUGGUUGAGAUUUUUGGGCUACUAUAAGAAUAAUAACAAAACCCCAGGGUUUAAGUUCAAUAUGUCAGCAGGGGUAUGCGGGAAGCGGGUGGGAUUUGAGGAAAUCUUCGGAUCCUCAUCUUCGUCGGCUAAGAGAUCCAGGUGUUCUAAUUUUCGGUCACCUACCCGAUCCCCUGAAUUUGGGUCCGGAUCCGAGGACACCGUAUUUACUUUGUUGCAAAUGUUCCCUGCUUUGGAUCCUGAGGUGCAUUUCAAUGUUUAAUAGUUAUCUUUUUCAUUCUUGUAAUUUGUUUAAUUGAUGGAAUUCUCAAAUUAUAAUUGUGUAGUCAAUUCUAAUUUCUAUCUUGAUUCUUGAUCUUUUUUGAAAGCUAUGAACUGUUGCACUUUACUUCGUAUUUAAUGUAAUCUUGAGGAUAUCAUGGGGCUAAAAUAUGCAAUUUAUAAAUUGGGUUUGCCAAGUUUGAUCUAAGUAUUUGAUUAUACUUGGGAUUCAUUUAAUUAUUAUUAUUAUUUUUUAAUCCUUGGUUUUCAUGUCUCAUGUGAUUUCUUGUUUCUGGAUGCAUUAUGUAGUGACACUUAAUUGACAAUAUUUGUUUUUACUUUUUCACUUUAGCUGUUUCUGAAACCUUUUGUAGUUAGAUGAAUGACUUGAUUGGACUCUUAUCCUAAUUCAGUAAUAGAGUAUGAAACUAUGAAUGAUGAACUUGGAUUGUGUUUCAUAUUUAAGAAGAAUCAGUUCAUGUAAUAUUGAAUUGUCUAAUUAUAUUUUUUCCCCUUUUUUCUUUAUUUAGUUGGUAAAAACUGUUUACAGGAACCACAACAAUAAGAUUGAUGAUGCAAUUCAGACUUUAAUGAAAUUUUCAUUUGGUGAUGAUGUGGAUAGAAAUAAAUCACAGAGCUUUGAGUCAGCUACGAUUGGAAAGUGUGAUGCUGUUCCUGCUUUAAGCACUGCUACUUGUCAUCAAAUGUCAGAAGAAGAGGUUGAAAAUUUGAAAACGAGCAGUGAUUAUGAAAAUGUUGUAGAUGGCCCGAAGUGGGUGGAUUUAUUUGUGCAGGAGAUGAUGAAAGCAGCAGAUCUGGAUGAUGCUAGGAGACGUGCUGCUCAAGUUUUAGAAGCUUUUGAAAGAAGUAUAACUGCUCAGUCCCGGGCAACAGAACUGCCAGAGGAUGCUUCAAUGAAGGAGCGUCUUCAAAGUUUACUAAAUGAUAACCAAAUCUUGAAGAGAGCUGUUGCCAUCCAGUACGAACGUAAUGUGGAACAAGAGGAGAAGACAAGGGAAGUGCAAAACUUAAAGCUUUUGUUAAAUCAGUACCAAGAGCAAAUCCGAAGUUUAGAGCUAAACAACUAUGCAUUGAAACUCCAUCUUCAAAGGGCACAACAAAGUAGCUCUAUUCCCGGGUUCUUUAAUCCGGACAUAUGUUGAGGUUAUUUUGGUUAUCAUCAUGUAAUUUACUUUUCCUCUAUACGUGAUGUAUUCCUUUUCCCCCUCCUGUUGAGUUUUUUUUUCCCCCAUUUUACUAGGAGUUAAUGAAAAAUAUUAAGUUUUACACCUGAUUGUACUAAAGUUAGAAGUUAUAUGUGUAAUUCAGGCCAAAUAAAAUUUAGCAGUUUGCUUGAAUUUUUUUUUUUCUUAACUGAAUUUGAGUGCUGACUUGGUUUUCAAGCUCACUCUGUUUGUGAAAAGUUAUUCUGUGAGUGCAUGGUUUGGGCAUGGGUACUACUUUUGAUUUAAAUUUAUGAUGCAAGC
rnacentral:misc_RNA from 1 species